UAUUUUGACUCUCAGCCAUGAAAGAUGAGGAACUCAACAUAUACACUAAUACUAUUUCCCUAUCAGCUUUAAUUGUUUCAUUGGAGGAGUUGGUCCGAAUAACCUCAGAAGCCAAUAUGGAACAUAGAAGUUGGUGAAUCGCCUCUGUGACAACCUUUAACAGUGUAUGUGUCAUCAGUCUCGGCAUCCAAACCGAAUUUUGGUUGAAGGAUCCAUCCUGUCUCUGUGGUGUGAUUACAACAAUUGGCCCUGUGAGCAGGACAUCAAGUUCUCCCCAUUUAUGGAUGUGAAACCAAAGGUCUAGAAAGAUCAAGGCAUCUCAACAAGAUC